GACCCCAGUUUAGGCGGGACUACCCGCUGAGUUUAAGCAUAUCAAUAAGCGGAGGAAAU
rnacentral:rRNA from 1 species